GGACUACUGGGGUAUCUAAUCCUGUUUGCUCCCCACGCUUUCGCGCCUCAGCGUCAGAUCCGGUCCAGAGAGCCGCCUUCGCCACCGGUGUUCUUCCCAAUAUCUACGAAUUUCACCUCUACACUGGGAAUUCCACUCUCCUCUCCCGGUCUCCAGCAAGCCCGUUUCAAGCGCAGUUCCCAGGUUGAGCCCGGGGCUUUCACGCCUGACAAAACUCGCCGCCUGCGCGCCCUUUACGCCCAGUAAAUCCGAACAACGCUCGCCCCCUUCGUAUUACCGCGGCUGCUGGCAC
rnacentral:rRNA from 1 species